UUCACGCAAGCCAAACUAAAAAAAGGCAUUUACCACGGCUUUUGCGUUUCGUUGAAUUGAUUUUUCCGUAGACGCGCCGCAACGAAGUUGUCUCCGAACCGUCGUCACCUACGCGGUUUUAUAAACGGGCGUUUUAUUCAACAGCCGCGAUUUAAUCAGCAUUUCCAUUUGUGUUGCGCGAACGCAUUUGUUUCCGUUCGAAAAAUCGCAAAGACGGCGGACGCCACAUUGUGACGCUACUUAUCAACACGAGCGCGAGACAGGAAACGACAAUAUAGUUUUGAACGCGGUGACGGCGACGACGCACGCGACGUUCGAGUAAUAAUUCUCCUCGUUUAUAUGCUCUGUUUAUCGAAUAAUUAUUUCGAAAUCACCUAAUGUCGACUGAUCAUGCGCAGCACAUAAAAGCACCGCGUUCACGUUCAGCGGCAACAGCUCCGCAGUGUUUUUGGUCUUAUUACAUUAGAGCGCGGAUUGACCGUAUUAUCAAACUAGUUGAAAGUGAGUAUGUUAUCUAGGCAACUGCAGUUGUACGCGCGUUAUGUCGCUUGAAAAUUAAAACCGACGUAGAGUCGCACGGACAUGUCCAAGUCCGUUUGUCGGUAAAUUUGUUUCGGUAUGAAGACCAAUAACAGUCGGCGCCGA